UACGAAGGGGGCUAGCGUUGCUCGGAAUCACUGGGCGUAAAGGGCGCGUAGGCGGCCAAGUAAGUCAAAGGUGAAAUCCCUCGGCUCAACUGAGGAAUUGCCUUUGAAACUGCGUGGCUUGAGGCCGGGAGGGGGUAGCGGAAUUCCCAGUGUAGCGGUGAAAUGCGUAGAUACUGGGAGGAACACCAGUGGCGAAGGCGGCUACCUGGACCGGUUCUGACGCUGAUGCGCGAAAGCGUGGGGAGCAAACAGG
rnacentral:rRNA from 1 species